AGAAUCAACGCUGGCGGCGUGCCUAACACAUGCAAGUCGAACGAGAAAGUGGGAGCAAUCCCACGAGUAAAGUGGCGCACGGGUGAGUAACACGUGACUAACCUACCCUUGAGUGGGGGAUAACCUAGGGAAACCUGGGCUAAUACCGCAUAAUACCUACGGGUCAAAGGAGCAAUUCGCUUAAGGAGGGGGUCGCGGCCGAUUAGUUAGUUGGCGGGGUAAUGGCCCACCAAGACUGUGAUCGGUAUCC
rnacentral:rRNA from 1 species